GACGUAGGGUGCUAGCGUUAUUCGGAGUGAUUGGGCGUAAAGGGUGCGCAGGCGGUAUGCUAAGUCAAUUGUUAAAUUUCCCGGCUUAACCGGGAGCUCACAAUAGAUACUGGCGUGCUAGAGGGUGGAAGAGAGAGAUGGAAUUCUCGGAGUAGCGGUAAAAUGCGUAGAUCUCGAGAGGAACACCGAUGGCGAAGGCAGUCUCUUGGUCCAUUUCUGACGCUCAUGCACGAAAGCGUGGGGAGCAAACAGG
rnacentral:rRNA from 1 species